rnacentral:lncRNA from 1 species
UUAAAUAAUUAAAUAAUUAAAAUAAAUAAAUAAAUAAAAUAUAACAAAUUAUUUUGGACUUGGGUCUCCCUCAUUCCAAGCCCAUUACCCACGAAAUUAGUCUAUAAAUACUGAAGUUUCAGUAGAGGAAAAGACUUGGAGUUUACACUGGGAGAUUCACUGGAGAAAGAAGGAAGAGAAGCAAAACACUCUGAGGUUUCCUUGGAACAAAACCUUGAGGAAAAAGAAAGAGAGAGAACAGAGAAGGACGGAUAGAAACUUUGGCAUAGGAACCCUGCCUACC